UACAGUCAUAUCACGUUGAAACAUCUGCUCUCGUACGAUCAUCGAAGUUAAGCAACGUCGAGCCUGCUAAGUACCUAGAUGGGUACACGCUUGAGAAUACUAGGUGU